rnacentral:rRNA from 1 species
UACGUAGGUGGCAAGCGUUGUCCGGAAUUACUGGGUGUAAAGGGAGCGCAGGCGGGGAAGCAAGUCGGCUGUGAAAUGCAUAGGCUUAACCUAUGAAUUGCAGUUGAAACUGUUUUUCUUGAGUGGAGUAGAGGUAGGCGGAAUUCCGAGUGUAGCGGUGAAAUGCGUAGAUAUUCGGAGGAACACCAGUGGCGAAGGCGGCCUACUGGGCUCAAACUGACGCUGAGGCUCGAAAGUGUGGGGAGCAAACAGGAUUAGAUACCCUGGUA